rnacentral:rRNA from 1 species
AGCGAACGCUGGCGGCAGGCUUAACACAUGCAAGUCGAGCGGGCAUCUUCGGGCAUCAGCGGCGGACGGGUGAGUAACGCGUGGGAACGUGCCUUCUGGUUCGGAAUAACUCAGGGAAACUUGAGCUAAUACCGGAUACGCCCUUUUGGGGAAAGGUUUACUGCCGGAAGAUCGGCCCGCGUCUGAUUAGCUAGUUGGUGGGGUAACGGCCUACCAAGGCGACGAUCAGUAGCUGGUCUGAGAGGAUGAUCAGCCACACUGGGACUGAGACACGGCCCAGACACCUACGGGAGGCAGCAGUGGGGAAUAUUGGACAAUGGGGGCAACCCUGAUCCAGCCAUGCCGCGUGAGUGAUGAAGGCCUUAGGGUUGUAAAGCUCUUUUAUCCGGGACGAUAAUGACGGUACCGGAGGAAUAAGCCCCGGCUAACUUCGUGCCAGCCGCCGCCGUAA